AGUGAACGCUGGCGGUAGGCCUAACACAUGCAAGUCGAACGGCAGCACAGUAAGAGCUUGCUCUUACGGGUGGCGAGUGGCGGACGGGUGAGGAAUACAUCGGAAUCUACUUUUUCGUGGGGGAUAACGUAGGGAAACUUACGCUAAUACCGCAUACGACCUACGGGUGAAAGCAGGGGAUCUUCGGACCUUGCGCGAUUGAAUGAGCCGAUGUCGGAUUAGCUAGUUUGCGGGGUAAAGGCCCACCAAGGCGACGAUCCGUAGCUGGUCUGAGAGGAUGAUCGGCCACACUGGAACUGAGACACGGUCCAGACUCCUACGGGAGGCAGCAGUGGGGAAUAUUGGACAAUGGGCGCAAGCCUGAUCCAGCCAUACCGCGUGGGUGAAGAAGGCCUUCGGGUUGUAAAGCCCUUUUGUUGGGAAAGAAAAGCAGCAGGUUAAUACCCCGCUGUUCUGACGGUACCCAAAGAAUAAGCACCGGCUAACUUCGUG
rnacentral:rRNA from 1 species